UUGCGCCUGCGAUGGAUGCAGCCUUGUCCAUUCGGGAGCCUUGCAGGCGGCCGGACAAGGUACCCGUCCCGUGAUCAGCAAUUUUGCUGAUUCAAACCCUUUC
rnacentral:sRNA from 1 species